UCCAGACUGAACAAUCCCAGCUCCUUCAGCCACUCUUCAUAAGUGGCUGGCAUUUGAUGCUUGGAGUUCUCAAGCAACUCAGAGCUAUUCUAAGCAAUAAAUAGAUGCUAACACUUUUGCUGAGUAUUACAAAGUGAAUAGAAGAAUUGUGAAACCUGACUUCUGGAAAAAUGAAUUAAAAAAAGAGGUCAAAAUGCUGGAGAAAUUCUGAGUGAAAGAGGAAAGAAAAAAAAAAAAAAGACGAAGAAGAAAGAAAAAAUCAAGAGCUUCCAUAUAUUAAAUAUCUGAAAUACUUGCUUCUCAAAAGAGAAGAAGAACAAUGUAUCCCAGAAGACCUCACAGUCAGAGAAGGAAGAUCCAUCAUGGAAGUCACGGGAUUUGAGUGACGUGAUCGGGUUCACUCGCUCUCUCUCUGGUAGCCACACCGAGGGGUGGGUGUGCUUCCAAGCCAUAUGCUUUCAUCAGGUUUGAGCAAUGGGGAUCUCUCAGUACAAAACAAAACAAAAAGAGAAAAAGAAUAUUGAAGUAAAUUUAAAGCCAAAGGAUUUCGCGACCCUUGACCUGGACUUGCUUGGACUUGUUCAUCUGUGUCCCUCAGCAAGCUUUGAGACAAUGAUGCAAAAGAGUAAUCUCUUACACACUGAAAAGAGCCUGGCUGCAUCCUUCAAAUCAAGCCUCAUCAGUGCUGAGGGAGAGGAUAGCCUAUCUUAACCUGCUGGCAACAAUGCAGCCAAGGAUACCUUUGGCCUUCUUGGCCACAAGGGAACAUGGCUGGGACAUGAUUAAUCCGUUAUCCAGCAGAACUGAGAAUGCCUCCAGGAUGAGCAAUUCCAUCACCUUUCCAGGAAUUCAGGUGGGCCGUGGCCUUUCUUGUCACAUUUCUGCAUACUCUGACAACAUCCCUACACUGACCUCAGAUGGCCUGUCCCUGCUUUCAUCUGCUGUACACUUCUUGCUUAUAUUUGCGUUUGUCAGAAUUUGCUCAUAAAUGCAGAUCUCCUGCCCAUCUUUUUUAUAUAAAAAAUAAGAAAAUAAAAUUUUCUUAUUUUUGAGAAGAUUACAAAAUAAAAUCAAAUACAUUGCU
ensembl:lncRNA